rnacentral:rRNA from 1 species
UACGAAGGGGGCUAGCGUUGUUCGGAAUUACUGGGCGUAAAGCGCACGUAGGCGGAUACUUAAGUUAGGGGUGAAAUCCCGGGGCUCAACCCCGGAACUGCCUUUAAUACUGGGUAUCUCGAGUUCGAGAGAGGUGAGUGGAAUUCCGAGUGUAGAGGUGAAAUUCGUAGAUAAUUCGGAGGAACACCAGUGGCGAAGGCGGCUCACUGGCUCGAUACUGACGCUGAGGUGCGAAAGCGUGGGGAGCAAACAGG